rnacentral:rRNA from 1 species
AGUGAACGCUGGCGGUAGGCCUAACACAUGCAAGUCGAACGGCAGCACAGUAAGAGCUUGCUCUUACGGGUGGCGAGUGGCGGACGGGUGAGGAAUACAUCGGAAUCUACUUUUUCGUGGGGGAUAACGUAGGGAAACUUACGCUAAUACCGCAUACGACCUACGGGUGAAAGCAGGGGAUCUUCGGACCUUGCGCGAUUGAAUGAGCCGAUGUCGGAUUAGCUAGUUGGCGGGGUAAAGGCCCACCAAGGCGACGAUCCGUAGCUGGACUGAGAGGAUGAUCGGCCACACGGGAACUGAGACACGGUCCAGACUCCUACGGGAGGCAGCAGUGGGGAAUAUUGGACAAUGGGCGCAAGCCUGAUCCAGCCAUACCGCGUGGGUGAAGAAGGCCUUCGGGUUGUAAAGCCCUUUUGUUGGGAAAGAAAAGCAGCAGGUUAAUACCCCGCUGUUCUGACGGUACCCAAAGAAUAAGCACCGGCUAACUUCGUG